rnacentral:lncRNA from 1 species
AUGAAGCCGAGGUGGUUGAGAAACCGAACCUGCGAGGCUUGUGAAGGCUGAAUUGUGAUGAAGCCGAGGUGGUUGAGAAACCGAACCUACGAGGCUUGUGAAGGCUGAAUUGUAAGGCUCAAGCUGCUGAGGCACCUGCUGUCGAGGCACCUCCACCAUUGACUGGGCUUAGUUUAGUUCACUUUUCACUGUAAUCUAUCUUCAUCACAUGCUGUUUUUCUCCGAAGUGUGCUGGCCUCGUUAAGCAAUUGAACUUAAUGUUGAUUGAAGAACUAAACAACUUUAACUUGGUACCUUAACUCCAAUCACUUAAAACAACUGAAUUGUAUGCAACUUUCUUGAGUUAUGACCAACAUUACUUAAGUAAAUGAACAACUGUGUGAGCCUCGAACUUAAGCAAAUGAACUUUACUUAAGCAUAAUAACUGUAACCUGAAGGGAUUCAAUGAAUGCUGUUGCAGUCGAACUUAAGCAUAAUAAUUGUAUGAGCCUCGAAAUUCACGUGAAGUGGCUUCUCCCAUUGGCGUUCAGCCUCGCCAGAAGGAGGCAUGUGCUAGCAACUCGGAGUUCAAGCGAGGUGGCCCAGAGAUGGGACGCGAGCCUCCCCUCCAAGGUGACGACGCAUCCCAGACAUGGUGAAUGGUGUAGCCAUGUUGGGGCUUCUCCCCUUGGCGCUCAGCCUGGCCAGAGGGAGGCAUGUGCUAGCGCCUCGGAGUUCAAGCGAGGUGGCCCAGAGACGGGACGCGAGCCUCUCCUCCGAGGUGAC